rnacentral:rRNA from 1 species
UUGGAGGGCAAGUCUGGUGCCAGCAGCCGCGGUAAUUCCAGCUCCAAUAGCGUAUAUUAAAGUUGUUGCAGUUAAAAAGCUCGUAGUUGAAUUUCGGGGUCAGUAGGUUGGUCAUGCCACUGGUAUGUACUGGUCUCACUGAUUCCUCCUUCCUGAUGAGCUGUAAUGCCAUUAAUUUGGUGUUGCAGGGAAUCUGGACUGUUACUUUGAGAAAAUUAGAGUGUUUAAAGCAGGCUAACGCCUGAAUACAUUAGCAUGGAAUAAUGAAAUAGGACGUUCGAUCCUAUUUUGUUGGUUUCUAGGAUUGACGUAAUGAUUGAUAGGGAUAGUUGGGGGCAUUAGUAUUCAAUUGUCAGAGGUGAAAUUCUUGGAUUUAUUGAAGACUAACUACUGCGAAAGCAUUUGCCAAGGAUGUUUUCAUUAAUCAAGAACGAAAGUUAGGGGAUCGAAGACGAUCAGAUACCGUCGUAGUCUUAACCAUAAACUAUGCCGACUAGGAAUCGGAUGAUGUUAAUUUUUUAAUGACUCAUUCGGCGCCUUACGGGAAACCAAAGUGUUUGGGUUC